ACGGAGUUUUGCUCGGGUCAUUUCAGCCCACACAUUAGAGCCCUCUGCGAUAUUCUUCCAAGUGUCCUUCUACGACGCCGAAGAUGACAACAGCGAAUCGAUAACGAGGCAGAAAUGUAAAGAAGCCGCCGGUCUGCCCCCGAGGCAUGAAGAUCUUCGAGCGACCCCUUUUUCUGAACUUUUGGGCAUUCCUUUGCAAGGCUUUUUCAGCGUGAGAAAGAAGAAGGCUCCAGCUGCUGCCAGAUGAAGAACCCAGAAAUAUCCCUAAUCGUUCUCACUGGGGAAGAAGAGGUUACGUUCCUUUUGGACCUUGUAGCAACAGUUUAUGUACCCGGACAUCAUCAAGGACAAAGAUAAACUUGUUCGGAGGUGUGGAAUUUAUCUUU